AGAUGGAUUGGUGCCUUCGGGAACUCUGACACAGGUGCUGCAUGGUUGUCGUCAGCUCGUGCCGUGAGGUGUCCGGGUUAAGUCCCAUAACGAGCGCAACCCCUAUCAUUAGUUGCCAUCAGGUCAAGCUGGGGACUCUAAUGAAACUGCCUACGCAAGUAGUGAGGAAGCGGGGAUGACGUCAAAUCAGCACGGCCCUUACGUCCAGGGCUACACACGUGCUACAAUGGCCGGUACAGAGCGCAGCUAGGCCGCGAGGCGGAGCGAAUCGCGAAAAGCCGGUCUCAGUACGGAUUGGAGUCUGAAACCCGACUCCAUGAAGUUGGAAUCGCUAGUAAUCGCGCAUCAGCAUGGCGCGGUGAAUACGUUCCCGGGCCUU
rnacentral:rRNA from 1 species